UACAGAGGUCUCAAGCGUUGUUCGGAUUCAUUGGGCGUAAAGGGUGCGUAGGCGGCGCGGUAAGUCGGAUGUGAAAUCCCUGGGCUCAACCCAGGAACUGCGUCCGAUACUGGAAGGCUUGAAUCCGGGAGAGGGAUGCGGAAUUCCAGGUGUAGCGGUGAAAUGCGUAGAUAUCUGGAGGAACACCGGUGGCGAAGGCGGCAUCCUGGACCGGUAUUGACGCUGAGGCGCGAAAGCCAGGGGAGCAAACGGG
rnacentral:rRNA from 1 species